CUAUGAAUGCACGGGCACAAGAUCACAAAAUUGAAGUAGAUGAACUGCAUGCAUCACGAACCAGCGGGUCUGGACUACGGAAUGUUCGGAUCCUGAAGCCAGGCCCAAUCACUCAGCCGGAUACAUGUCGAUGACGCUUCUUGCUAGCAGGACGUUUUUAUUGUCGAACCCUCUAUUCCAUUUCUUAUACCACACGUGGAAGGAACGAAUGCCUGCGACGGGACGGACCGUCCCCCACUCCUCCUUUCUUGCUUCUCGGAACACCGUCAUGUCGCUCGACGGAAUUUCCAGCAGGGCCUCAACUAUCCUGUCCAGGGCUAGAAGUGCGUACGCCGUGUCAUGGGACAUGUCGUCGCUCACCGUGCGAAGCUCAUUGUCAACACAGGUGUUGUUGUCACGCAAGUGAAUAAAGAAAUUUGAUCUGUUUUCCA